GUCGGGUAGGCAGCAGUGGGGAAUAUUGCACAAUGGGCGCAAGCCUGAUGCAGCCAUGCCGCGUGUAUGAAGAAGGCCUUCGGGUUGUAAAGUACUUUCAGCAGUGAGGAAGGUGGGUAUGUUAAUAGCAUACUCAUUUGACGUUAGCUGCAGAAGAAGCACCGGCUAACUCCGUGCCAGCAGCCGCGGUAAUACGGAGGGUGCGAGCGUUAAUCGGAAUUACUGGGCGUAAAGCGCAUGCAGGUGGUUUGUUAAGUCAGAUGUGAAAGCCCGGGGCUCAACCUCGGAAUUGCAUUUGAAAACUGGCAAACUAGAGUACUGUAGAGGGGGUAGAAUUUCAGGUGUAGCGGUGAAAUGCGUAGAGAUCUGAAGGAAUACCGGUGGCGAAGGCGGCCCCCUGGACAGAUACUGACACUCAGAUGCGAAAGCGUGGGGAGCAAACAGGAUUAGAUACCCUGGUAG
rnacentral:rRNA from 1 species